rnacentral:rRNA from 1 species
ACUAUGCCUAGUAGUAAACUUUAACUUACCCUUACAUCGCCCGGGAACUACGAGCCAAGCUUAAAACCCAAAGGACUUGACGGUACCCCAUAUCCCCCUAGAGGAGCCUGUCCUAUAAUCGAUAAUCCCCGCUUAACCUCACCAUUUUUUGCUAAUCAGCCUGUAUACCUCCGUCGUCAGCUUACCACGUGAGCGUCAGUGAGCCUAAUGUUUUUCCAACUAUACGUCAGGUCAAGGUGCAACAUAUAAAAUGGAAAGAGAUGGGCUACACUUUCUAUCAUAGAAUAAACGAAAGACUAAAUGAAACCUGGUCAGAAGGCGGAUUUAGUAGUAAAAUGAAACUAGAGCGUUCACUUAAAUACGGCACUGGGGUGUGUACACACCGCCCGUCACCCUCCUCAACUCUGCAUAAAAGUUUUUAACGCCUUUUCAGAGACUCAGAAGAGGCAAGUCGUAACAC